GACGCCGUAAUGAUUAUAGGGACAGUCGGGGGCAUCAGUAUUCAAUUGUCAGAGGUGAAAUUCUUGGAUUUAUUGAAGACUAACUACUGCGAAAGCAUUUGCCAAGGAUGUUUUCAUUAAUCAGGAACGAAAGUUAGGGGAUCGAAGACGAUCAGAUACCGUCGUAGUCUUAACCAUAAACUAUGCCGACUANGGAUCGGACGAUGUUAUUAUUUGACUCGUUCGGCACCUUACGAGAAAUCAAAGUGCUUGGGCUCCAGGGGGAGUAUGGUCGCAAGGCUGAAACUUAAAGAAAUUGACGGAAGGGCACUACCAGGGGUGGAGCCUGCGGCUUAAUUUGACUCAACACGGGGAAACUCACCAGGUCCAGACACAAUGAGGAUUGACAGAUUGAGAGCUCUUUCUUGAUNCUUGUGGGUGGUGGUGCAUGGCCGUUCUUAGUUGGUGGANUGAUUUGUCUGCUUAAUNGCGAUAACGAACGAGACCUUAACCUGCUAAAUAGCCCGUAUUGCUUUGGCAGUACGCUGGCUUCUUANAGGGACUAUCGGCUCAAGCCGAUNGAAGUAUGAGGCAAUAACAGGUCUGUGAUGCCCUUANAUGUUCUGGGCCGCACGCGCGCUACACUGACAGAGCCAGCGAGUACUCCCUUGGCCGGNAGGCCCGGGUUAAUCUGGUUAAACUCUGUCGUGCUGGGGAUAGA
rnacentral:rRNA from 1 species